rnacentral:rRNA from 1 species
CGGACGGGUGAGUAACGCGUGGAAAACCUGCCGUAUACUGGGGGAUAACACUUAGAAAUAGGUGCUAAUACCGCAUAAGCGCACAGCUUUGCAUGAAGCAGUGUGAAAAACUCCGGUGGUAUACGAUGGUUCCGCGUCUGAUUAGCUAGUUGGUGAGGUAAAAGCCCACCAAGGCGACGAUCAGUAGCCGGCCUGAGAGGGUGAACGGCCACAUUGGGACUGAGACACGGCCCAGACUCCUACGGAAGGCAGCAG